UUUUCUUUCACUUACCUGGCUCAGGACUGCACAGGACGGGGUAGAAGGGUCUGUGAUCCAGCCCGACGAUUGGCGUAGUUGGCAGGAUGAGCAGCAGACUUGGGGUACCCUCACGGAGCACUGCGGUAAACCCCAGGUGCCAGGCACGAGGCCACGUGUCCAGGGACUGAUGCUGCAGUGGCUUCCUCUGCUACAAGAUGAGAGAAAACCCAGUCACUUGCCCCAGGGGAUCCUGGAACCAAUCCCCCAUGGACACAGAAUGACAACUGUAUUUUAUUGUGAAUCUUUGUCGUUGCUGUGAGAACUGCACUCCCAGCUGCACUCCAUCUGAGACCUGUCAGAGGGAACUGGGAGCUCCUUGGAGAAAUGGCUGGCCCCAGGGCUGGGGCAGGAAAGCACAGGAUGAACUGAGAGUAUCUGAUUGUGCCAGAAAGCAAGUGAGGGCUCAAGGAACAAGGCGUGUCAGGGGGACACAGAAGCCGGCUCCCAGGGGCUCCCUGUUAGCCAAAUCUGAGACAGUUUGAGCAUCAAGUUAAAAUGAUAGUAACGGGUUAGAACUCACCGAAUUAAGUAGGAAACCACAAGUUCAUUCUGAUACAAAUGAAUACAUUGAAAGUCUGAGGAAUGGGGUGUUCACAGUUUCGACACACCACCCCUCAAAAUAUUUUUUAACAAAGGAGAAACUGUAACUUUUCGGGGAGAAACCUGGCAGACACCACCAAAUGAUCAAAGCAAACACCUUCAUGAAUGAAACAAAUUGAGCCAUGCGCCAGCUGAAUAGCAGUUCAGGUAUUCCUGCCGAAGAGACAGAAUUUGAAUCGAGUCACGAAGGCACAGCAAACACACCCAAAUGGAGGACAGUCAACAAAAUCACUGGCCCUUAAUCCUUGAAAGUGUCAGGAUCAUGAAAACCAAGACUGAGGAACUGCUUCAGACUGAGGAGGCGUGACAGCAAACUCCAUGUGCCGAUUUGAGCAGGACCCAUUCAUUGUACACGAACCGCUGGGACAUCAGGGAGGCCCGAACAGCAGGGAUGCACCGUGUUGGGAUCCCGAUUGUGAGCAAUGGUUUUGUUAUGACCGUGUAGGAGAAAGUCCUUAUUUGCAGGAAAUACACUGAUGUA